UACGUAGGGUGCAAGCGUUGUCCGGAAUUAUUGGGCGUAAAGAGCUCGUAGGCGGUUUGUCGCGUCUGCUGUGAAAACUCGGGGCUUAACCCCGGGCCUGCAGUGGGUACGGGCAGACUAGAGUGCGGUAGGGGAGACUGGAAUUCCUGGUGUAGCGGUGAAAUGCGCAGAUAUCAGGAGGAACACCGGUGGCGAAGGCAGCUCGCUGGGACGUUACUGACGCUGAGACGCGAAAGCGUGGGGAGCAAACAGG
rnacentral:rRNA from 1 species